rfam:Oryza meridionalis cultivar OR44 (W2112) chromosome 12, whole genome shotgun sequence.
AAAAAAGCAAACCAUGGAUUUCCGUGCCAACGUUUGACUGUCUGUCUUAUAAAAAAAAUUUUUAUAAUUAGUAUUUUCAUUAAACAAUCUACUAUUUUGUACUAAUUAUGAAUAUGCAUGACUUAUCUUUUUAAUUUUUUUCAUAUUUUUUUCAAAUAAGACGGACGGACAAACGUUAGACACGGAAACCAGGGUUUGUCUUUUU